rnacentral:rRNA from 1 species
AGAGUUUGAUCCUGGCUCAGGACGAACGCUGGCGGCACGCCUAACACAUGCAAGUCGAACGGAGAUGAUUUGAGUUUACUUAGAUCAUCUUAGUGGCGGACGGGUGAGUAACACGUGAGCAACCUGCCUUUGAGAGAGGGAUAGCUUCUGGAAACGGAUGGUAAUACCUCAUAACAUACAGAUACCGCAUGGUGACUGUAUCAAAGAUUUAUCACUCAAAGAUGGGCUCGCGUCUGAUUAGAUAGUUGGUGAGGUAACGGCUCACCAAGUCGACGAUCAGUAGCCGGACUGAGAGGUUGAACGGCCACAUUGGGACUGAGACACGGCCCAGACUCCUACGGGAGGCAGCAGUGGGGAAUAUUGCACAAUGGGGGAAACCCUGAUGCAGCGAUGCCGCGUGGAGGAAGAAGGUUUUCGGAUUGUAAACUCCUGUCUUAAAGGACGAUAAUGACGGUACUUUAGGAGGAAGCUCCGGCUAACUACGUGCCAGCAGCCGCGGUAAAACGUAGGUCACAAGCGUUGUCCGGAAUUACUGGGUGUAAAGGGAGCGCAGGCGGGCGAUCAAGUUGGAAGUGAAAUCCAUGGGCUCAACCCAUGAACUGCUUUCAAAACUGGUCGUCUUGAGUAGUGCAGAGGUAGGCGGAAUUCCCGGUGUAGCGGUGGAAUGCGUAGAUAUCGGGAGGAACACCAGUGGCGAAGGCGGCCUACUGGGCACCAACUGACGCUGAGGCUCGAAGGUGUGGGUAGCAAACAGGAUUAGAUACCCUGGUAGUCCACACCGUAAACGAUGAUUACUAGGUGUUGGGAGAUUGACCCUCUCAGUGCCGCAGUUAACACAAUAAGUAAUCCACCUGGGGAGUACGACCGCAAGGUUGAAACUCAAAGGAAUUGACGGGGGCCCGCACAAGCAGUGGAGUAUGUGGUUUAAUUCGACGCAACGCGAGGAACCUUACCAAGUCUUGACAUCCCUUGACGAUGCUGGAAACAGUAUUUCUCUUCGGAGCAAGGAGACAGGUGGUGCAUGGUUGUCGUCAGCUCGUGUCGUGAGAUGUUGGGUUAAGUCCCGCAACGAGCGCAACCCUUAUGGUCAGUUACUACGCAAGAGGACUCUGGCCAGACUGCCGUUGACAAAACGGAGGAAGGUGGGGAUGACGUCAAAUCAUCAUGCCCUUUAUGACUUGGGCUGCACACGUACUACAAUGGCGUUAAACAAAGAGAAGCAAGACCGCGAGGUGGAGCAAAACUCAGAAACAACGCCCCAGUUCGGACUGCAGGCCGCAACUCGCCUGCACGAAGUCGGAAUUGCUAGUAAUCGUGGAUCAGCAUGCCACGGUGAAUACGUUCCCGGGCCUUGUACACACCGCCUGUCACACCAUGAGAGCCGGGGGGACCCGAAGUCGGUAGUCUAACCGCAAGGAGGACGCCGCCGAAGGUAAAACUGGUGAUUGGGGUGAAGUCGUAACAAGGU